ACGGGUGAGUAACACGUGAGAAUCUGCCCAUUAGUGGGGGAUAACCUGGGGAAACCCAGGCUAAUACCGCAUAAUCCCUACGGGGGAAAGCAGGGGACCUUCGGGCCUUGUGCUGAUGGAUGAGCUCGCGUCGGAUUAGCUUGUUGGUGAGGUAAUGGCUCACCAAGGCGACGAUCCGUAGCUGGUCUUAGAGGAUGAUCAGCCACACCGGGACUGAGACACGGCCCGGACUCCUACGGGAGGCAGCAGU
rnacentral:rRNA from 1 species